CCUACGGGAGACUGCAGUGGGGAAUAUUGCACAAUGGGGGAAACCCUGAUGCAGCGACGCCGCGUGAGUGAAGAAGGAUUUCGGUAUGGAAAGCUCUGUCAGCAGGGAAGAAAAUGACGGUACCUGACCAAGAAGCCCCGGCGAACGACGUGCCAGCAGCCGCCGUAAUACGUAGGGGGCAAGCGUUAUCCGGAUUUACUGGGUGUAAAGGGAGCGUAGACGGCAGGGCAAGUCUGGAGUGAAAGGCGGGGGCUCAACCCCCGGACUGCUCUGGAAACUGCCAGGCUGGAGUGCAGGAGAGGUAAUCGUACUUCCUUGUGUAGCGGUGCAAUCCGUAGCUAUCAGGACGAACACCCGUGGCGCAGGCGGCUUACUGGACGAUAACUGCCGGUGCGGCGCGCAAGCGUGGGGAGCCAACAGGAUUAGAUACCCCUGUAGUC
rnacentral:rRNA from 1 species